rnacentral:tRNA from 1 species
GGGGAGGUGCCAGAGUGGCUGAUUGGGCCCGCCUGCUAAGUGGGUGUCGGGGUUAACUCGACCGCGGGUUCGAAUCCCGCCCUCCCCGCCA